AUGGUAGAAGGAUCUAUUAUACCAGAAUGUCAACGAUGAUCAUGUCAGGGUCUUUUAUAUACUGUUCAUAACUGUUGAAAUACCCAUAGGAAUGCUGGGUAAUCCAUAUCUGCCAUUACAUGAAAAAAAAUUGAAAAUGUGCGUACCAGGUUCUGCCGCUCAGUGAAGGUAUAGGUUAUUGAACAACCAUUUUGCAACUGGUUCUUCAUCUGCAAAGGAAAGCAAUGUGUGAAAAAUCAUAGUUUGCCAUAUGUUAAUAAAUUUUAACAGGGGCUUUAAAAGCUAUUUAGUGCCCUGCCAUUAAUUUAGAGAGAUUUAAUGCCAAAAUAUUUCUUAAUUCCGUAUUAACUUUCACUAGCACUCAAAUUUAACAAAUGAUUUAUGCAUGAGUAAUGAUUACAUGCAUGUGUGGUUUGCUGUGGGAUUUUAUAACACAGCCUAAUAAAUCCCUUUCCAUAUAAUUUUAUAAUGCAAGUACAUGUGGUUUAUCCCGCAGGGGGAUUAACUUCUAGUAAAAGCAGCUUAUCUUACCAGACGUCUUAAAUUUAAGAGAUGAUCCUCUGUGACAGAGUGCUUACAUGGACCUGGCACACCAGCAUACACCAAAUAAAAGCACAGGAUAAGGAAGAUGCCCAGAUGCCUUACCUACAAUCACAAAACAAUUAUGAGUUUUAUUUACAAAAUCACACCUGAAUGGAUGAAGUAGAUUUGUAUUUAUUUAUUAAUUUUUAUUGCAGUUUUGGCAGCUUUUAAGUUGUCAACUCUUAUUUUAAGGUCAUGUCAAGACAUUUACUUUUAAUUCAGUUUCCCCUUCAAUUGGGAACUCGCACUGCAUCCCCUGGAGGAUACUUUGGGGAAAGCUGUCAGCCUGACCAUUGUCUGAAGCACGUGUGCAAAACACUACCAAUUCAAUGGAUGUCAGCAACCCAUGAGGUCAUGGAGGAGCACCUGGAAGUAUAAAGGGGCACCUGUAAUGUAUAUGUCACCAGGUUUUUAAAUUUUUUGUAAUGUAUGUCACCAGGAGCCGUUUAUUUGUUCAGCACGUACGAGUCAUGGCUAAAAGCUCGACUGAAUGUUUUAGGAGUCUGUGACUCUGAGGUUUCUGAGACCUGAGGACAUACACGACCUAUGCUUUAUGUGUUUGAGAGUGGAGCAUGCAUGUUUAGUGCUCGAGGAUGCUGAAUGCAUGAGGACCAGAUGCAGAUCCAAGCUCUCGCUUGAGUCAUCAGAUCCGGCAGAUAGCACACUGCUGGUGUCAUCCAGUCAUGAUGAGGAAGUGCAUGUAGUUGGUGGUGAUGUGGAAAGUAUGAACAAGCUGUCCCAGCCCUGCAUACGAGUAAAUGUUGGAGGUUAAUGCCCAUGCUGCAAAAAGUUUGUGGGCUAUCUCUCCCAGGGUGAAUUACUGUAUUUUCUUUGAAGGCUCUUGUUCUGCCAUCCAGGUCGCUUCAAACUACCUUGUGGUUGAAUGGCAGGGUAUAUGCAGCAUCGGGUCAGGCUAGAGGGGUUUUACACAUGAUGGCCAUGUUAUAAGCCUACCAGGCAAACCUGCUGAAAGAUCUGAAUGAAGGCUUUUCGAUAUAUCCGUCGAGAUGGUGGUCGAAGUUCAGUGAGGCAAGGGCGCAGUCAGUAGUCUUUAAGAGGUACAUCACAACAUACAUGUAACUCCUGGAUUAGUCCUGUGAAAUGAACAACACUGUGAAAUGCAUUUGGCAGCAAAUCUUUCCAGGCACCCAUCAUCCUCUUUGAUCCACUAGCUGCAUGUUGUUUUCCCUUUGGAGGCUUAAACAGAUUCAGUAUUUUACUCCAUUAAACUCCAGAUGUUUCACAUGGCCUUCAAAAUAACAUCUAACUUACUGAUUUUAAAGCUUUUAGUUGUUCUUUCCCUCUUUACAUUAUACUCUCUGAUUUUCUUUUGACCUUAUCAAAUUUCUGAAGCAGCGGCAUAUUGUGUCACAUGACUUCCCAGCAAUGGAUGUUUCAGAGACUAUACUGUAGCACACCGAUGACCUUUGGAGCAAAUAUUCCAUUCAUCUUGGAAACUUGGCAACCUCAUUAAUCUGUUUUCAGGGAUCUACUUUAUUACCACACUGAGCAAUAUGUGCUCACGCUGUGGUGGUUGUGGUAACUACAUAAUAAACCCUUUUUUCUUUUUUCCUUUUUUUAAAUCUGAGCUGCAUCUAAAUCGGCCACUGGCUCAUUAUUUACUAUAUAGUGUAUGGCACAUAAUGCACUAUAUGUGAAAAAGAGAAACAACGAGUGAGCAACUUCAGAUGCUGAUAUAAUCACCGCGUGGCAGAGUGUCGAAAUAACUUUUUUACACCUUGUAAAAUAAUAUUGUUGAUGAUAAUAACUUUACUAAAAAAAACUACACAUACAAUUUUUUUCCGUUUUUUAUUAUUUAACAUAUAUUUAGAAGAAAAAAAUUAGUUUACAUGUUCUCAUAUUUCAUGUCAUAUUUAAUAGAUUUUUAAUUCAUUAUAAUAAAAUAAUAGUCUACCAACCAUGUGAAUAAGUGAUUAUGUUCAUCAUUCCAUGGUUCAACUACAGGUAAUCUUUAUACGAUAAAUCAGACUGCAUUUUGAGUUCAAAAAAAAGAUUGAAUUGUAUAAUUUGGACAACACUACAGAAUGGCCAGCUCCAAUAUAGUGCACCUAUAUAGGGAAUAGGGAGUGGUUUUGAUUGCGUCUGUCUCCUCAUGUAAUUGUGGUGGGGCUUGAGUUAGUCAGUGCACAUGUACUCUCCGGACAGCCAGGACUUUGAAUAUUGUCUCUGUGAUGCAGGAAGUCCAUUAAACGUGCCUUUAUGCCGCUAAGCCUAUGGAGUCUGGGGCACUGGCCCACCUUUUCCCCAAGGCUCUGUGCAUUUGGCAUCACUCAGAAAUUUUGUUUUGGGCCCCCUGAAUUUAAGCAAGAUACACUUCAACCUGGCAGCAGCUACAUCUGCUCAUCUAUCUUCCCCGUCUCUUCCUUUAAAAGGUCCACCCCAAGUCUAAAGAUUUCUCAGCCUUUUCCUCACACCUGAAUGUACUUAAAAGCAGAAACACAACCACAGAUUUACCAUAUACCUGU